rnacentral:rRNA from 1 species
UACAUGGGGUGCAAGCGUUGCUCGGAAUUACUGGGCGUAAAGCGCGUGUAGGCGGCAUGGCAAGUCGGGUGUGAAAGCCCUCAGCUCAACUGAGGAAGUGCGCCCGAAACUGCUUUGCUUGAGUGCUGGAGAGGGUCGCGGAAUUCCCCAAGUAGAGGUGAAAUUCGUAGAUAUGGGGAGGAACACCGGUGGCGAAGGCGGCGACCUGGACAGUAACUGACGCUGAGACGCGAAAGCGUGGGUAGCAAACAGG